AUGUGUUUCAACUGGGGGCAGGCGCAGAACCACGGCAUAGGGAAAAAUUUAAAGGCAUAGUUGCGGGAGAAACAGCCACCUAAUUCUCAUUAGGCGCGAACCCGAGUAGGUGGGCACCAGGAGAUACUGCGCUUGCGCCCGCAGCCUCAGCUGUGGAAAGAGGGGAUGUGCAGGUUGGGGGAAAAUAACGGGACUCAAUCCGUUGUGGCUGGCCCACGGAGGCCGUGUGUGCCCACUCAGGGGUAGGGAGAUUUCAUAGAAUAAGAUUUACACCGGAUCGGGUAGGGAGAUAGGAUGAUAAUUUCUUCUGUGAACUCUCCCUACCUCUUAGUGCGUACGCGCGGACCCAGAUCAUCAAGGGCAUCCUGGUUGGUAUCAAUCAGGUUAGUCUCUCCCUCCUUCCAACACUCUCAGCCAUCCAGUGGGCAGUGUAUUGAGAGGUGGCUGAGCAGUACAUGGAGGGGCUCCCAAUUCUUUUAUUUAACCCCUUUAAAGGACCACUCUAGGCACCCAGACCACUUCAGCUUAAUGAAGUGGUCUGGGUGCCUGGUCCAGCUAGGGUUAACCCAGUUUUUCAUAAACAUAGCAGUUUCAGAGAAACUACUAUGUUUAUGAAUGGGUUAAGCCUUCCCGCUUGCGUGCUUCUCACUGUGAUUUUCACAGUGAGAGCAUGCAAGCGUCCAUAGGAAAGCAUUAUGAAUGCUUUCCUAUGUGACCGGCUGAAUGCGCGCGCAGCCAGCCGACGGGGAGGAGAGAAGGAGGAUCGGAGGAGGAGACCUCUCCGCCCAGCGCUGGAAAAAAGGUAAGUUUUAACCCCUUUCCAGAGCCGGCGGGAGGGGGACCCUGAGGGUGAGGGCACACUCAGGGCACUAUAGUGCCAGGAAAACAAGUAUGUUUUCCUGGCACUAUAGUAGUCCUUUAAGGACAGAGUUUCAGAAGCUUGCCUUGCAGUUAAUGACAACAGCAUUUUUUUGCUGUUUACAUUCAACUGCAAUUUGCAUUUUACUAAUGUAUUGCACCGACACACAUUAUAUACCGUUUUUUAAAGGACAGAAAGGGCUUUAGUUUGAUGUAACACAAAUAUAUAUAUGUGUGUGUGUGUAUGUAUGUAUAUAUAUAUAUAUAUAUAUAUAUAUAUAUAUAUAUUUUAUUUUUUUCAGAAAAAUUGGGGAAAAGAGACAUUUUGUGUUUUUUUACAGUUUUGCAAUAAUAAUGUGUGCAUAGUAUUACAGGUUAAAGUAAUUAAAAAUAAAUUCAUUUAGUUCUGAUUUACAGAAUAUAUAAUGUGUCUGGGAUUUUAAGGUUUUUUUUUUUUUUGGUAGUUAAAGGUCACAAAGCACAAUGAGUAAAAUAAACUUUUAAUGUGGAGCGAUUUUAGAAUUUGGUAUGUUUGUCUUGUAAGCUUAAUAGCCAUAAAAGAAAACAAAAGUGUGUGUGUGUGUGUGUGUGUGUAUAUAUAUAUAUGUAUGUAUGUGUCAAUAAUAUAUUGAAAAUCCAGCGCACUCGCUUAUCUACUAAACAGUCAUUUUAAUGCUGAAAAUUGUUCAGCAUUAAAAUGACUGUUUAGUAGAUAAGCGAGUGCGCUGGAUUUUCAUUUUUACUGUACUUAUUGGCCCCCAGCAGCACCCUAAUUUAGCAUGUGUAGGUGAGUGCAGCCAAACCCUUAUUUUCUCAUGUGUGUGUGUGUGUGUGUAUGUAUGUAUGUAUGUAUGUAUGUAUAUAUAUAUAUAUAUAUAUGUGUGUGUGUGUGUGUGUCAUCACAGGCUAUUGUCCUACGGUUGUUUUGACACUUUCUACGUAGCCAUUUUACCGCCAAUCUCUGCUAAAUAUUGGAGUAAAAUUGUGUUGUUUUUUUGCCACACAAACUUAUAACAAAGAACUUCUUGUGUGUAUUUUGUAAAGUUGGUGUGUGCUAUUCCUUUACACAACUAUUUUGUGUUCAGCUACAUCUGCUGAGUACAACGAUACUCCCAUUGUAUGUCUUUGGCACUAUUUCGUAAAGCUGAUGUGCCAUAUGGGAGACCUGUCCUUUUCAGUAUUUACAGUAGACUUUUGAGAGACGGAUUUAAUGGGCCAAUGCUUCCGUAUGGAGUAUUAUAGCAGUUUGACUGUUAAAAAAACGCCACAAAGGCCUACCAUUUCUAAAAGUAGACACUACAGGGUAUCUCAUAUGGUGCAUAUUGUGCCUUAAAGCGGCACUGUCAUGCCGAACUGACCUUUCCUCAAUCUUCUCCCCCUCUCUCAGGAUCUGUUCUUCUUUAGUUUUCUUUAAAAUCAUAAGAGAAAGUAGGGACUCUUUGCCUUAUGUAGGUUUCCUCCGCUUGACCAGCGGAGGAGCAAAGUGUGCUUCAUUUCCGCUGGUCAGAGCAAUUUUCCCAUAAUUCUUACCUUUCCUCUGUGAUCUUGCGAUGCUUCUCGUCAUUUUAGACGAAACUGCUGAAUUGCGUUCUAACUCAAUGAGAACAGUAUGAUCGUUUGUUUUAGAACUCAAUUCGGCACUUUGUUCGGAUCGGAAAUUCCUUCUAAUGGAUGAAACUCCAAUCCUAUUCAUUGCCGCGGCUGCAUCUUGCAGCCGUUUAGUAGAUAACUCCUUAAUUCCCACGGUAUCAGGGAGUUAUCUACUAAAAGGCUUAAAGACCUAAAUUGGUCUUUCAGCCACAUUUACGAAUACUAAGUAAAGAUUACUUAGUAUUAGUAAAUUCAGCCCCUACUCGCUAUACCGCGAGUAGGGGCAUGACUAGUAAGCAGUGAGCAGCCUGUGGCUCCUCACUGUAAAAAAAAUUAAAAAAUAAUAAUAAUAUUGGCCCCCACCCGUGAGCGGUGGGUGGGGGCCAUAAUGGACAUUCGGGUGGGGACCUACUGUCCUCCCCCCAGUCCCCACCCCUGCGCGGUGGGUGGGGGUCAUAAAUUACAAUGGGGGACCUACUGUCUCCCCCCAGACCCCACCCUUGAGCGGUGGGUGGGGGCCAUAAAUUACCAUGGGGGGGGACCUACUGUGGGGGCCAUAAAGAUUAUGGGGGGGACCUACUGUCCUCCCCCCAGCCCCCACCCUUGAGCGGUGGGUGGCGGCCAUAAAUUACAAUGGGGGGGACCUACUGUCCUCCCACCCUUGAGCGGUGGGGGCCAUAAAGAUAAUGGGGGGGACCUACUGGGCGGCGGGUGGGGGCCUUAAGACAAAUUCCCCCCCUCCCCUCAUCAAAGGUGACUAGGGGUCCCCAAGCCCCUAGUCACUCACCCAAAAAAAAGUAACCCCCUACCUAAUCUCCCUUAUGCUAAUAUGGGGUCAUAUUGAAGUGGCGGAGAGCACAGCUCCCUGCCGCUUCUAUCUUUACAUAUUACAAGGAGGUAGCUGCGCGCCGAUACUCAGUGUUUGUUUGUUCGUCUGAAAUAUUCAUUCGUUCGUCUUUCUGACGAAUGAAUGAAUAGACGAAAUUCCCGUUCGCAUGUCCAAGUGUUUACCUGGGCAUGUGCGGGAAUCUCACAGUCUGAAUAUAGAUCGGGGCAGAAAAUAAAGAUUAAAAAAUAGGUAAUCUGGGGGGGCUUAGGAGCAUUUGGGGGUGACUACGGGGUCGGUUAGAGGUAGUGGAGGGGGGGGAUAAAAAAAAAAAAAAAACGCACGCCCGGGAGGUGAUGCGUUCCACCAAAAGUUAAUGAGCAAAUGCGCAUACCAAAACUUAAUUUAAAAAAAAAAAAAAAGCCGCGAAAUUUGAUGCUCGGCGUAGAUGAAGCUGUGCAGUACCCACUGACAGCAUGGAUGCUUGCCAGAAGUGGUACGCCGUGUCACCAGCCCCCCACACGGCUCAGAGGCAUUUUGAGGUAAGAUCAAUUAAUCUUUCCUUCAAAAUGAUCUCUGUAAUAGUUUAUACACUUAAUUUACAAGGAGUAUGAAGCUACGAGGAAAAGAAGAGGACGAAGAGUGGAAACAAGCUUUUAUUUCAGGAUGAGUAAUGUUUUGGACCACUUUCCCUAUAGUGAAAGUUUCAGCAUUUAAUCCCUAUGGACAUAUGGCUGAUAUCUCCUGCAAAAGACACAGUGUGUGUCCACUAUAUGCUCUAUGUAUGAGUACUGUGAGCAGUGUAUAUACCCACUAUAUGCUCUAUGCCGAAUUACUGUGAGCAGUACUUGUGCUCACUAUAUGCUCUAUGAAGAAUUACUGGGAGCAAUAUAUGUGCCCACUAUAUGCUCUAUGACGAGUUACUGGGAGCAAUAUAUGUACCCACUAUAUGCUCUAUGACGAGUUACUAUGAGCAGUAUAUGUACCCACUAUAUGCUCUAUGAUGAGUUACUAUGAGCAGUAUAUGUACCCACUAUAUGCUCUAUGAUGAGUUACUAUGAGCAGUAUAUGUACCCACUAUAUGCUCUAUGACGAGUUGCUGUGAACAGUAAAUGUACCCAGUAUAUGCUCUGACGAGUUGCUGUGAACAGUAAAUGUACCCACUUUAUGCUCUAUGACGAGUUGCUGUGAGCAGUAAAUGUACCCACUAUAUGCUCUAUGACGAGUUGCUGUGAGCAGUAAAUGUACCCACUAUAUGCUCUGACGGGUGGCUGGGAAGACUCCGCUUCAGUAUAUGUAUCCACUAUAUGCUCUGUGCAAAGUUUCUAUGAGGGCUCAGCCUCAGUAUGUGUACACACUAUAGGCUCUUUGUAUGAGUUUUUAUGAGGACAAAACCUCUAUAGAUAUAUCCACUAUAUGUUCUAUGACGCCUUGAUAUGUAUCCACUUAAUGCGCUAUGUAUAGUUUCUAUGAGGACUCAGCCUCAGUAGAUUUACCCACUAUAUGCUCUAUGACGAGUUGUAGUGUGGACUCUACUUCAGUAUUUGUAUUCAUUAUAUGCACAAUGCACUAUGUAUGAGUUCUGAGGACUCAUCCUCCGUAAAUGCUCUAUUUAGGAGUUACUGUGAGGACUCAGUAUAUUUAUCUACUAUUUGCUAUGAGUAUUACGAGGACUCAGCCUCUGUAUAUGUAUCCACUAUAUACUCUGUAUCCUCUAUAUGCUUUAUGUAUGAGGUCCUGGGAAGACCGGGCCUCAGUAUAUGUCUUCACCAAAUGCUCUAUGGAUGAGUUACCAGGAGGUUACUGCCUCAGUUUAUGUAUCCUUAUUAGGCUCUAUAAAUGAGCUUCUGUGAGGACGCCGCCUCGGUAUAUGUAUCCACAGGAGCUGCGUAACCUUGGUAUAUAGCAUAUAUUGUCUAGGUAUGUUUUCUGUAUGAACAGAUUCAGUAUAUGUGAUUGAUAUCUCAGGGCAUUAUGGACGGUUAUGAGACAACCACAAGGUAUGUGAUUUCAGAGCAAACCUAUCAGACAGCUUUACUAGCAGGAGCUGCCAUAACCGGAGAUAUUGUUUUUUUGUUUGUUUUUUUCCUUUUUUUGCUCAACGCACUGCAGAACAUAAUUCCUGGAGACAGGAUUAAUCUCUGCUCCAAGAAUUUGCAGUUGUCAAAGGAAAAUCCCUUUUUCUCUUUAUGAUUGUGGAUGUUUGGUAGUUUAUGGUUGCGAUCAUAGAUGACUGAUACCGCAUCAAAAUCGGUCCUUUGUGAGCUUCCCUUGGGUAAGCAGAAACUGUUUGGGUCUCACUUGAAGAAAUCUUAUCACAAUUCAGAGACUAAGAAUAUACUGAGCAAAUUCCCAUAAAUUGAAACAGGAGAUUAGAGUGUGGCCGCAGUACUUUCUAAAGAAAGUAAAGUUGUGUAAAUAAUGGCGAUUAUAUUUUUGGGAGAUCAGACGGAGCAAACAGAGGGAAACAUUGCUGACGCUGACAAUUCUACCAGCAAUACAUAAAUUUUAUUUCUGAUUCAAAAGAGUUCCUAGAUCUCGUGUUCAAGUCAAACACAUUGUUGGUUUUCUCGCCUCUAUCAUAGAAGUAAGGGAGUUGGUAGUAGCGGGUCCGUUUUUCGAAUUAGAUAGUUCCUUUCAGGAGGCUUGUCUUUCGUCUAAAGAUCUUGUUGGGGAUCACUACAGAUGCUCUUAUCUAGUUUCGUGGUAAUGGUUAAGGGAGAAUCCGCAGACUUGGGGUUUAAAGCUGUACUUCCCGCCCUUCAUCUCUUCAGUCCGUGGAUACAUCGGAAGGCUGUAAAAAUUCAUACAAUCACUUGUCCAAAGGUUUUGAUACGUCAUCCGGCGGGGAAAACCAGAGUAGGCACUCUUUCUCGCCUGUAUGCGGUUAUCUUGCUGAGGUGCAAAAUUAUCUAGCAGAUCUUUCGGUAGUUCAAUUCAGAGGGAUUGACAGUGACAUAGCCGUCGAGCUCAGAAAAGGAAAUUGGAAUCAGGAGUUUGGUCCUUAGGUCCAUGUAAUUUUUACAGUCUGGAGAGGAAAUUUGGUGUUCCAGACAUGGCCCUGUUGGCAAGCAUUACAAAAACAUUCAUUGUAAUGUAAUGUCAGGCUGGCAUGCAUCUUUCUUCCGCUAUUUCCAAGUUGUCUUCGAAAAUUAAGGCUGUCGGAGCCUGGUUCUUAUUCCAUUCUGGCCAUACAAGGUUCUGGUUCCCGACGUUCAAGAAGAUGGCCUCCACACAGUGGUAACUUAGUAUUAGUGGUAGUAUUUGUAAAUUCAGCCCCUACUCGCUAUGCCGCGAGUAGGGGCAUGUCUAGUAAGCAGUGAGCAGCCUGUGGCUACUCACUGUAAAAAAAAUAAAAAAAAAUAAUAAUAUUGGCCCCCACCCGUGAGCGGUGGGUGGGGGCCAUAAUGGACAUUCGGGUGGGGACCUACUGUCUCCCCCCAGACUCCACCCUUGAGCGGUGGGUGGGGGCCAUAAAUUACAAUGGGGGGGGACCUACUGUCCUCCCAUCCUUGAGCGGUGGGGGGGGACUUACUGUCCUCCCCCCAGCCCCCACCCUUGAGUGGUGGGUGGGGGCCAUAAAGAUAAUGGGGGGGGACCUACUGGGCGGCGGGUGGGGGCCUUAAGACAAAUUCCCCCCCUCCCCUCAUCAAAGGUGACUAGGGGUCCCCAAGCCCUUAGUCACUCACCCAAAAAAAAGUAACCCCCUACCUAAUCUCCCUUAUGCUAAUAUGGGGUCAUAUUGACCCCCAUAGAGUGAGGGGGGGACCUGGGGGGCUUAUGAAGUGGCGGAGAGCACAGCUCCCUGCCGCUUCUAUCUUUACAUAUUACAAGGAGGUAGCUGCGCACCGAUACUCAGUGUUUGUUUGUUCGUCUGAAAUAUUCAUUCGUUCGUCUUUCUGACGAAUGAAUGAAUAGACGAAAUUCCCGUUCGCAUGUCCAAGUGUUUACCUGGGCAUGUGCGGGAAUCUCACAGUCUAUAAUUAAAAAAUAUUAAAAUAAGUAUAAUGAAAUUAAAAAGCUGCUCCCUUCUCAGACUCCUAUCCUUGCCUGCAAAACUUCUCACACUAACACCCUCCCUUCACAAUCACACACAAUGAACCCCACACACUGUACCCCUUAAUCGCUGCACGCCUUACAAUCACACACACUGCACCCAUUUGUAUUUGUGUGUGUGUAUGUAUGUGUGUGUAUAGCGCGCUCUCUCUCUCUCUCUCUCUCUCUCUCUCUCUCUCUCUCUCUCUCUCUAUCUAUAUAUAUAUAUAUAUAUAUAUAUAUAUAUAUAUAUAUAUAUACAUACACACGUGGCGUGUGUUUGUACUUUAGGGUGCACACCCUAAUGCAAUAGGCUGCACACGCCUAUGACCAGUAUCUAAAGUAAUGGUGUGAUCUCUGUGGUGGGGACAAUUGUAACAAAAACUUAACGUAUAAGCAAAAUGGCUAUAUACAUAAAUUCCUUGGCCUUAUAAGGCUACUCCUAUAUUAGAUGAAACAGGUUUACCACACAGUAUACAUGACUGGCUUAAUUGUCGGUAAAAGGUGGAUCCAGUGUAAGGUCGAUUCUGUAUGUAUAUUAGUCAGAUUUGACUAGUCUAAAAGCUAACUGAGCAUCAUGGGAAAUGUAGUCCAGAAACAAUUUAUGGUGUCAAGGUUAGCCAUCACUGGCCUAAACAAUGCUUAUACUGUGACCGUACCGCCUACACACUGCUUAUACUGUGACCGUACCGCCUACACACUGCUUAUACUGUGACCGUACCGCCUACACACUGCUUAUACUGUGACCGUACCGCCUACACACUGCUUAUACUGUGAUGUUAUUUUUCCCUUCAGAUUAGAGGGAGUGCUUUACCAAUGGGAUUUCUAAUCUGGAGGGAAAAAACAGGCAGGCAAUUCUCCAAACUUUUUUAAAACCCUCCCCCUUAUUAAGCACCUUCCUAUAAAUGUCAGCUUACCAAAAACAACCCCAGUUCUUUGCCUGACUUCGGCAGAGGAGGUAUAGCAGGUUUUUCUUCAGGGAAGCAGGUGAGAAGGGCUGAGACCCUGCUUCCUUUUGUUUUGAAGCAAAAUUUUGUACGCCAGACGGCGGGUUCUUCACGAAGCUUAUAAUGUUCUGUCUCUUCCGCGCCAGGUGCCGGUCAGACGAAGGACGCAGGCGUGCGUCAGCUGGGAGGUCAUGGCGGUGGAACGCACGUACAGGUUAUGUUGCGUUCCACUGGGAAUUCGCGUAGCUCAAUGCACAUGCGCAAUGCAAUCCAAGAUUCAGGCGCCAAAUCUGAAAGUUUUUCGUUCAGUUGGUUUACAGGACUGAAACGGAGCAGAUCUGUUGCGAGUGUGUUUCUCACCUGCCCUCCAACACACUGUGAGACCAUUUAAGGUAAGACAUUUAGCUUUUAUUUUAAUGGGUCUAGCCUGAAUCAUAAAGGGAAUUAAAAUUUUCCCUUUCUCCUAUCUUUCCUCAGUAUGUCUAAUCCUGAGAUUACGGAGAAAUCGACAGAAGGGGAAAUGUUCAGCAAAAUCCAAGCAUUUAAGUUGCUCUGUAUGUUUCCAACCUAUGCCAGAUGGAUAUAAAAGGAAACUUUGUUCUCUAUGUUCCAAAGAGGCUUUAGAGGAAGCUAAAAAAACAGAAAUGUCCACGUUUCUAAGCUGGUUACAACAGAGUAUGCAGCAAACCUUUGUUGAAAUGCAAUCUGCAUCUAUGCAGUCGGCUCAGGCAUCUGUUGCUCAGGAUUUACAGGUAGUAAAACAAUCCAAGAAAAGGCUGAGAUCAUGGGAAGAUUCAGAUGCAAGCUCAGGUACUUCUGAUUCUUGUUCUAGAGAUGAUUCCUCUAGUGAUUCUUCUGAGGAGGAAUUUGCCUUUCCAGAGGAAGCCAUUGGAAAGUUUUUAAUAAAUGAAGUGCAGAACCUUAUGUUGGAUGGGAUAACAGGAAAAAGAUCUAACGUUUUCCCAUUAUAUCCACAGCUAAAGGAGUUGGUUUUAAGAGAAUGGAAAUUCCCAGGUCAUAAACCAUUUAUAUCAAAACUGCUGGAUACAGUUCCUGUAGUAGACAUUCCUAUAACUCAAAUAGGAAAGAAAACUGCGUUGCCUAUAGGUGACUCGAGUGGUUUAAGGGAUGUGAUGGAAAAGCGUAUGGACUCGUCUUUAAAGAAAAUGUUUGUUUCCUCAGUGGCUCUGGCAAAAGCCCUUAUCGCAGGAACCUCUGUGGCCAAAGCACAAAAACAUUGGCUAGAAGAACUAGAGAAGGUUUAUGAAGGAGAAUCAAAAGAAGAUCCAGUAAAGCUGUUGAAAAAUAUCAAGAUGUCUGCAGAUUUUUUGGUAGAUUCUUCUUCAGAGAGUCUGAAAUUAUCUGCUAAGAAUUUGUGUCUAACAACAGUAUCUAGGAGAGCACUUUGGCUUAGAAACUGGUCAGCUGACGCUGCAGCUAAAAAUUAUUUGUGUGACUUACCCUUUGAGUCUGGUAGACUGUUAUGGUCAAAACUGGAUCAUCUGUUAAAACAAAUGAAGGAAGGCAGGAAGGUCUUGCCUGAAACCCACAAGAAGCAGGUUUGGAACAAAAAAUGGGGAUCCAGCCUUCAGUUAGAAGUUCCUUUCGUAGGAACUAUUACAGGGGAACAGAGGAAAGUUUUCGAUUACAGAAAGAAAGAUUCACGGACAAGAGAAAUAGAAUGUUUCAAAAAGUUCUCUGGCUGGAUGGCUGAAGGAUUGUAUUCAUUUAGCUUAUUCCACAAGUAACGCAGAAAUCACAGGCUCCGUAAAGGCCCAUUCUACUAGAGCUAUAUCUACGUCCUGGGCUCUGCGAGCUGCGGCUACACCUUCCCAGAUUUGUUCAGCGGUCACAUGGUCAUCGUUUCAUACAUUCUCAAAACAUUACAGGUUAGACAUACUGGCCUCAGAAGAUGCAAUCGGAGGGAUUGCUUUUUCAUAUCCCAUUGGUAAAGCACUGCCUCUAAUCUGAAGGGAAAACAAAAUGUUUUACUUACCGUAAAUUUCUUUUUCCUGAAGAUUAGAGGAAGUGCUAUAAUUCCCCCCCUCCCCCCUUUUUUUUCUAAUAAACUCUGAAUUGUGCAUGUAACCGGCUUGUGUAUUUUCUGGAGUUGUUUUUGGUAAGCUGACAUUUAUAGGAAGGUGCUUAAUAAGGGGGAGGGUUUUAAAAAAGCUUGGAGAAUUGCCUGCCUGUUUUUUUUCCCUCCAGAUUAGAAAUCCCAUUGGUAAAGCACUGUCUCUUAUCUUCAGGAAAAAUAAAUUUACAGUAAGUAAUUUUUUUUUUAUUUUUUUUUUACAGUUCGUUUUAGUGUUUGCAGUUUCAUUAAUGUGUUAAUCACUAUCCUAUAUCUUAUGUUCUGUGUUUUCUUAGAUUUGUUGGAAGAACAAGGUGAUCCUCUCAAUUUUACACACCUUUACUGAUGGUUCCAGUGCCAGAGACAAACCCACCACCAUUAACCUCGACCUGCUGAAACAGAAGAGAUUACCUUCUUCUACAGAAAACUUCCACUUGGCUGCUUCGUAACACCUGCUGCAGACAUGACAUAACCUUCAUCUUCCACUGAUUGAGAAUCGUGGACCGCCCCAAGAGAGAUGGCGGUCCUAAUGCCAUACAGCAGGCUUCCCCAAACUCCGGCCCUACAGAUGUUGCUGAACUACAACUCCCAUGAUUCUCAGCUUAUCUAUUUCAUUCAUAGAAUCAUGGGAGUUGUAGUUCAGCAACAUCUGGAGGGCCAGAGUUUGAGGAAGCCUGCCAUACAGUCUUUCUUCACAGGUGAACUUUCUCCAUGUUGGAUACCACACUGUGACUUUUCUUAGCCAGUUUAAAAUUUUGACUUUUUUUUAUUUUUUUUCACUAUACGUAGAUUUAAAAAGAAUAGAAAUAAAGUUUAUUACUGAC